ACAAAACAUUGCAUUGAUACAUUAUGGUACAAUAAAAUACAAAAACAAUAUUAAAUACACAAUAUAUACAAGAUUUAACAUAGAAUAGGUAGGAAAUAUAUAAUCAACCAUGUUUUGAGGUAUGUAGAGAGGGAUCUCUUAAACGACUCUAGGCUUGGGGAAGAUUUUAAAGUGUGCAGGAGGUCAUUCCACAAUUGCGGCGCUCUGUAGGAGAAGGAGGAUUGGGCCGCUUUCUUUUUGUAUUAAAGUAGACUAAAUAAAGUGCUGGUACUGGAUCGGAGGUUAUAGGAGGUGGGAACAGUCGAGGAGAGCAUUCUGCUCAUUUAGGGUGGGGGUUUCCCAGAAAAGCUCUUAAACACAAGGCUAGAAAGAUGAAGGGUCCGUCUGCAUUCCAGCGACAGCCAGUUU